CCUGUUGAAAUAGUCGGUGAUGAUUUGUGGUUAGCGGAGAAAUUCCAAACGAAUUCGGAUAUAGCUGGUUCUCCUCGAAAUAGCUUUAGGGCUAGCCUGUCGCAAGAAUACCGAAGGUAGAGCACUGUAUGGUCUAGGGGGUUUCACGACCUACCGAAACUUAACAAACUUCGAAUGACGGAUAUUUGAUGCGAUGGAGUCAGACGGCGACAGAUAAGUGCCGUCGUCAAAAGGGAAACAGCCCAGAUCCACAGCUAAGGUCCCAAAGUACAGGUUAAGUGGUAAACGAUGUGUCAUUGCAUAAACAACCAGGAUGUUGGCUUAGAAGCAGCCACACAUUCAAAGAGUGCGUAAUAGCUCACUGGUCGAGUGAUGAUGCGCGGAAGAUUACCGGGGCUAAAACCUGACACCGAAGCUUGGGGAUAUGAGUAAUCAUAUCGGUAGAGGAGCAAUGUAUAGAGGUUGAAGUUAGAUCGGAAGAUUUAAUGGACGAAAUACAAGAGAGAAUGCCGGCAUAAGUAGCGAGAGAGAGGCGAGAAACCUCUCCGUCGAGAGUCUGAGGUUUCCUGGGGAAGGUUCGUCCGCCCAGGGUUAGUCGGGGCCUAAGUCGAGGUCGAAAGGCGUAGAUGAUGGACAACCGGUGCAAAUUCCGGUACUACCGAAAUUCGUUUAAAUGAAGCAGUGACACAGGAAGAUAGUCAGACCGAGCGGAUGGAAAAGCUCGGCCAAGGCGAGACGAGGGCAUAGAGUGAAGUACCUAUGUAGAAAUCGGAGCGCUGAUGGGGAUGUGAAGUUUAGUAAAUAAGCUGACGAAUCUACACUGGCGAGAAAAGCUGCUAAAUAAGGAUUAAGGUACCCGUACCGCAAACCGACACAGGUAGACGCGAAGAAAAUUCAAAGACGAACGGGAGAACCCUUGUUAAGGAACUCGGCAAAAUGACCCCGUAACUUCGGGAGAAGGGGAGCCACAGCGAUGUGGUCGCAGUGAAGAGGUCCAAGCAACUGUUUAUCAAAAACACAGGUCUCUGCUAAAUCGAAAGAUGACGUAUAGGGGCUGACGCCUGCCCAGUGCCGGAAGGUUAAGGGGAGAUGUGCAAGCAUUGAACUUAAGCCCCGGUGAACGGCGGCCGUAACUAUAACGGUCCUAAGGUAGCGAAAUUCCUUGUCGGGUAAGUUCCGACCCGC
rnacentral:rRNA from 1 species